CGACUGUUGAAAGUCGGACAGCACCCGCCUUGUGCUCACCCCGCCGGGAUACACGGGGACGGUUCCUUUCCAAGGAGGCCCGGGGCCGCCUCUGCGCCGGGACAGCCUGGGAAGCCGCGCAGGCCUGGCCGACUUCCCCUUCCCAGCCCCGCUGCGCCCUGCGGGGCCCUGUCGGCGGUGGGGGCUGCGGACCCGGGAGCGCGCGGCCGCGCUGCACGUGCAGGGACCGGUAGGCGCCGGGGUCAGCGCCAGCGUUUGAUGUGCGGCGGGGAGCGGGCCGAGCCCCGGGAGGCCGCUUCGCACCUCCCAGUGUGUCCGGGUUGAGCGCGAGGUCAGGAGGGGACGCAGAGUUCACGGCGAAGACGGAUCGCGGGGGCUCGUCCCGCCCGGGUUGCGCGCAGCGGGGGCCGCGUGAUGGAUGGGCCGGGCCGGGCACCCGGGAACCCGCGAGCGCGGGGCUGGGCUCUGGGCUGCGUCCGGGGGCCCCGACUUGGUUAUUGAUCGGCCCAAGCGCAGGAGAACUGACUCUAUAAUGCAUCGCCUGACCAGGAAAAGUGUUUGCUUUUGUGGGAGCAAAAGACAACUUUCUGCCCCGCCAGAGCGUUGCUAAGUGAGCGGUAAUGACCACGCUAGAAAUUUCAUAGGGAGAGGCUAAUGGCAGGCUGACUCUAAAAGUGCUUUUAAGUGCAACUUCUGUCUAAUCCCUUGAGGGGGAAGAAAACAUCGGCGACUAAGAAAGUUCAAGUUGUACAGGACCCGGGUUUUUGGGGUCGGGGUCACUUCUGCUCUGCGUGACUUUGAAGAGGAAGACCUGCGGUUUUUUCCAGUGGAUUUUCACACGUGUUUUAAAGAGAACUCCCGGCUCCUGAAAUGAAAGGCCCGCCUGUAGGGUUUUGCUGCCUCCCCUCUGCCCACGCCCCACCCCCACAGCCUGGAUCAAAGCGAUCAGACAAAUUAUUCAGAAGUAACACAGCCCUGAAAUGUUCCUAAACGUGACUAUUUGAGGCGAUGAAUCAAGCGUGUUCCCUCCGCCCCCAACCCACCCCCAGACCGAAAAUGUGACUCUGGAAACGGACUUGCAGAGCUGGCUUCGGUUUAUAUGCGGUUCUGACCCCUGUUGACUUUAGGACAAGCCUUCCUGUUUCCAGUACUGCAGCAUCGCCAGACAGCCUCGCCAUGCAAUCGGCUUUCCAGAUACGAUUUCACUCCUCACCAAAGACACUUCUUUAGGGCGAUUUUAGGAUUCUAUCAACGCUAGUAAAGGAACUACUUAAACACGUUGAUUUGUAUCGCCUUCCCUGACUAUGAAACAUUGAAGUGGAAUACUACUCAUCAAUAAAAAAAAUAUAAACUCCUGAUACACCUCAUGGAUGGAUGCAUAGAUGGAUGGAUGGAUCUGAAAAACAUCGUGCUGAAUAAAAGAAGCCAGACAUGAAAGAGUACGUACAAUAUGAUUUCUUUUAUCUGAAGUUCUGGAACAGGUAAAAUUAAUCUAUGGUAACUUAAGUCAGAACUGGGAGUACUUCUGGUGGGAGGAUUUAGUGGGAAGGGGCAUAAAAGAUCUUCCUGUGUCUUGAUAGAAGUGUGGGUUUUACAAGUGUAUGCAUUUGUAAAACUCAUUGAACUGCAUGCUUAAUAUUCGUGCAUUUCACUGUAUGUAAGCCAUUCUUCAGUAAGAUACAUGAAAAAAGAAAGUCAUAUAAAAGUCAUAAUAUAACAGAAGAGGAAUUCUGGAGUUCUUGUGGAAUAUGCUAUGUCAGAAAACUGCUAAAGAAUAAGUGGAGUGAUUUUUUAAAGACAAGGAAUCAGAUAAAUGUAAGAAUUUCAAAAUCAAAGAAUGUGUUUAGUGGCAGAAUUGCAAUAUUAAUUAUUCCUUAGAGUUACAUUCCCCACAAUGUGUUGUUUGGCAUAUUAAAAGGCAUUCUAUUCAAAACGAUUCUAUAGUCAUAAAUUUGGGAAGCUGUAGGUUAAACGGAGUUAUAUAGGAUUUCUUCCCUAGUACUUCUCAGACUCUUUAAAAUGCGCAUCCUUAGUGUGGGCCUUGUUAUGGGUUGAAUUCUACCUCCCCAAAAAGGUAGGUUGAAGUCCUCAUACCUGUUGAUAUGAUUUUAAUUGGAUAUAAGGGUUUUGCAGAUGUAAUUAAUUAAGGUCAUACUGGAUUUACGGUGGGCCCUUCAUCCUAUAUGACUGGUGUCCUUGUAAGAGUAGGACAGAGACAGAGAGAGGGGGCGGGGGAGAGAGAGAGAGAGAGGGAGAGACCAGGGAGAGGAUGCCCAUGUGAUGAUGGAGGCAGAGAUGGGAGUGAUGCAUCUAUAAGCCAAGGAGGGCCAAGAACAGCUGGCAAACACCAGAGGCUGAAAGAGACGAGGAAGGAUUCCUCUAUAGGUUUCUAUAUCAGUUCCUUCUCAUGCUACUAAUGAAAGACAUACCUGAGACUGGGAAAUUUAUAAGGGAAAGAGGUUUAAUUGACUCACAGUUCAGGAAACUUACAAUCAUGGUGGACGGGGAAGCAAGCAUGUCCUUCUUUACAUGAUGGCAGGAAGGAGAAGUGCAGAGAGAAGGGGGGAAAGCCCCUUAUAAAACCAUCAGAUCUCAUGAGAACACACUCACUAUCACCAGAAAAGCAUGAAGGCAAUCACCCCCAUGAUUCAAUUACCUCUCAUUGGGUCCCUCCCACCACAGGUAGGAAUUAUGUGAAUUACACUUCAGUAUGAGAUUUGGGUGGGGACAGCCAAACAAACCACAUCAGCUUCAGAUGGAGCUGGGCUCUGUUGACAUCUUGACCUCUGAUCUCAGACUUCUAGCCUGCAGAACUGUGAGAGAAUAAAUUUCUAUUGUUUCAAGCCGCCUGUCUGUGGUACUUUGUUAGAGCAGACACAGGAACCAUACAAACCUCUAGGAAAAAGAUGUGAUGAUCUCACGUUUCCCAGAUUGGUCUGAUCAUACAAUCUUCUGCACUUUCCAUGGCAUGUCUGGAGAGUGUUUGGCCCGCCCAGUGUGGUAAUCCCUGCCUGCUGGGACGGCCUUUCCUUCAACUAUUCAUGUUAUUCUUGCUUACCUUAAGAGCAGUGUGGUAUGCAGAAUGAUGGCCCCCAAAGAUGUCCACAUCCUAGUCCUGGAAUGUGGGAAUAUGUGAGUUACAUGGCAAAGAGGAAUUAAGGGAGCACAUGGAGUUAAGCUUGCUAAUCAGUGGACUUUAAAAUACGGAGGCUAUCCAGUUGGGUCUAGUGUAAUCAUGAGAGUUCUUAAAAGUAGAAGAGGGUAGUUAAAGAGAUUGACAGGGUACUUAAAUCAGAAGACAGGAUUGCAGAUGGAGGAAGGGGCUGCCAACCAAAGAUGGUGGGUGACCUCUAGAAGCUGGAAAAGGAAGGAAUGGAUUCUCCUCUCCAGCAAACAAAGAAACACACCCUGCCUACAGCUGGAUCUUAGCUCAGGGAGACCCGUGUUUGAUUUCUGACCCACGGUACAGCAAGAUGAUAACUCUGUGCUGUUUCAAGUCUGUAGGUUUGUGGUAAUUUGUUGUAGUAGUAAUAGAAAGCCAACAUAAGCACUAAGUGAAAUAAUUCUUUCUUCAUUUUUUAGAACAUUUGACUUUUGAUGUCAAAAACUAGAAUUUUACAUUUUUUAGAAUUUUGUUCCAGAAUGUUGUCCAUAUUGCAUAAAGUUGUGUCAUUUCCUACUCAAACAAAGACUAUCUACCUGAAUGCUUGCAACACGACAAGAAUAAUAACAGAGUGAAACCCGUUAAAAUGGAAGUGUGUAGGAUUUGGGUUGGCUGGAUGCAAGCUUCCCUCUGCAGCGGGAUGAGGCUGCCACUACCAGGAGCACGCUGGCCUGCCGGCGGGAGGAACAGAUGCCAGAGGAGACCUGACUGUGUCCUCAAGGCCAUGCCCCAUCAGCCAUCCCAGCAGAGCCCACAGCCACCCACAGAGGAAUGAGGAUCCCCAUCCAGGAUCACCGGAACUGCACAACUGACUCACAAACGUGUGAAGAGUAAUGGGUAACGUGUUGAACUGUGAGCCUUUGAGCCUGGGGAGGUUUGUGAUGCAGCAGUAGCUCCCAGACCCUUGAGGCUCUUCGGCACGAAGGUGCUGAGCCAUGCACCUAUGCAAAGCCAAACUCUGCACUAGGCCUACUGGGGUGUGCAGAGAGAGAGGGCUGAACAAACUGCGGUUCCACCCAGAAGACCCAGAAGAACAUUUACGGAGGAGUCAGUGCAAGAGGCGAGAGAGCAUGCGUGAAGAGGCUCGUUCUUGUGGUGUAGAAAAGGAGGCCAGAGUCUCCCAGACCACGAUUCUUUUCCUUUAGGUGUUUCUUGGGCAUUUUCAAUCUUAAAUCUCUUCCCAUGUUAUUGAGAUUUCUGAUUGAAUGUCCCCAUUUUCCCUCAGACAGCAGGCCGUGUGUGAGUCACCACCUCCAUCUUUCUAUGUCCUGGGUGUGGGCCCAGUGAAGGACAGUUAUGGAAAUUUAGAGAGAAGAGGUCGCAGGUGUGGUGGGGGUGGUGAAGCUUCAGAAGAGAAAAGAAGCAUGGUGGAGAGGGUGGACUCUGGAGGCUACUGCAGAGCUCUCCCCCAGGCUAUGAGGGGGCAUGAUGGUCCCAAUAGCCUGAGUCUGUGUUCAUUUCAACUGGCUACCUUGUGACGAGGAAGAUGGCCCAGGUUCCCAGUGGGAAAUCUAUGGUUAUCAUUAAGAACGCAGGGCCUGAGAUGAAACCUGGCAGGUGAAAGGCACCUGGUUUUAUGCAACCUGGUUUUGCAGAAGCCUGUGGGAGGGGGCCCAGGGGGGAAGGGAGCAGAGGGCAGUGUUGGCUCUGGUUCCCCCACCAGGCAGGUGGGCUAGCACCUGGGUAAGGGGCUUUGCAUCUGGAGCUGGUCAUGCCUCAGUCCAGAUCCUGCCUUUAUCAGUUGAUGGGCUGUUACCUGCCAGUGGUUAUGGUGAGGACUAAAUUACGGAAAGUCAUCAAGGAUCUUCAUUCAUUGCCCACCACAGAGCAGGCACUCAAUGGAGAACACUCACCACCAUCUAUGUUGUUAAUGUUGCAUCUGCAGCCCUUGGUUUCCUGGAAAGACUCUACAGUACAGGGGCAGGUUAGGGGCCACAACCAGGAAACAAGACACAUCUGAGAGAAUGCAUGGGAGCUUAUGGAAGGAUGUACAAGGCUGGGUGUGGGAAUCCCGGCACUUCGGGAGGCUAAGGUGGAAGGAUCACUUGCAUCCAGGAUUCAAGCCUAGCCUGGCCACGUAGUGAGACCCCAGCUCUACAAAAAAUCAAAAAUCAACUGGGCAUGGUGGCAUGUGCCUCUAAUCCAAGCUACUCAGGAAGCAGAGAUGGGAGGAUCGCUUGAGCCCAGGAGGUUGAGGCUGCAGUGAGCUGAGAUCAUACCACUGCACUCAUUCUGGGCAACAGAGUGAAACCCUGUCUCAAAAAUAUAAAUAAAUAAAUAAAUAAAUAAAUAAAUAAAGAAAGAAAGAAAGAAAGAAAGAAUUUACAAGAGGGGAGUUUUAGUGGUUGAAAAAUCAUUCACUCAUUCCAGGAGCAAGAGCCUUGUGGGUUUUCUUCCUGUUCUUGCCUGGGUUAUCUCUACUGAACCAAAGAAUCCUUGUUAGGAAUGCUCUGGUGGUGUCAAUCAAUGCGUUUAUAAAUCAUUUGCUUUUACCAUGGAAAAAGAUAUCACAAAACAACACAGCUGUAGUGCAGGUGCAGAUGACCAUGGAACGGCAGCCUGGCGUUUUCAGUAGAGCACUGGGCAGCAGAGUCCCUGGGCCUCGGAACCCCGGCCUGUUACCACCCAACACCAUCCCUGGGCAAAAUGCGAAACUCCCAUCAGAUCCAUGAAUGGAAAAUGGGCGUAAUUAUAAUUGCACCCCACUCUCUACCUCUCAGCUAAGGUGAGAAAUGAAUAUGAGGAUGCUCAGUGAAAAUGCUUUGAAGUCUGUGAAAUGCGAAGCAAAUGUGAAGCGAGAGGAAUAAUAAGGUUCUAAGGACCCACACUUGGGCGUUUGCUCUGAGCUGGCCCCUGUCCUCCACACUGAACCUACAGCCUCUCCUCUCACCUAAUCUGCACAAAAAUCUUACGAAGCAGACACACUUACCAUGCUGGCCUUUCCGUGAAAUUUCAGGUCUUAGUGUCGCCCAUUACUGGUGGCAUUUCAUGCCACAAGUUGGGCCAUCUGCACCUCCAAGCACAGGGUCACAGAAGACUUUAUCCCGUCCCUUGGGCUGACUGAAUGGUUGGUUUGUGUCAACCCCUGUUGUCCCUUUGAGCAACUCGGGGGCAAUGGUUAUGGGUAGGGCUUAAAAAACCGUCUGGCUGCAAACCCAGUGCUGAUACGAACAAGGCCUAGUCAGGCACUAAGUGUUUUGUGUUCCCCAAAGAGAUCUUAAUGAAAUCCCAGCAUGCCACUCACUCCUACACUUAAAAUACCUUUUAAGUGUAGGAAAGAAAGUGCUUUCAACCCCACCCCAGCCAUUUGGAUUCGGAGACUCCAUUUAAGAUGCACAGCUUUCCUCCAGCACAGGGGCUGGGUAUCCAAACGCAGAGCCUCCCCCAGACUCUCUCUAGGCUUAGCCUGGCUUGGUGGGCUCAGGAGGGAUUCAAGAUUAUUUCAUCCUUUAUGUCCAUUCGAUGACAGUUUAUCAUCAUUGCCACCUCAUACUCUAUUGUAGCCAAACAUCAUAACCAGCACCAUGUGAACUACGUCACUGACGCCACAUUCUUUUUCUCGGCUGUCACUAGGCUCAGGUCAGGACAGCCCUCCCGGCUGACUUCCGCGAUACUUUCUGUAUCUCCUUUUCAGUCUGCCCUAAAAUGACAGCUGGACUUCCGACAGUGGUUUCUUAUGUGGGACACAUGGCUCUUAUACUCUGGGUGGCACGGAUUCCUUUAUUGCCAGUGGCUUAAUUUUCCCAGAUCUAUUUCCAUGCAGACAGUGUGAGGUUGGACUUCAUGCCUCAUGCUCCUGAUUGGGGCUCGGAAGUCUAACCCAGCUUCCUGCAGUGCCGCCCCCAGCUUAUUCAAUGCCCAACCUGCAGGUCCUAAGUUGAACCCGCACACUGCACGCUCACCUGGUCUGUGCUGCCAGCUGCAUUGGAAAUGGAAGCAUUAAACACCGUUCUCCACUGUCAGCCACCUGCUAGCUAAUGAGUGACAUCAUUUAACACUGUUUUGAAAAGAGAGAUUUAAAGUUGUUUUGAAAACUGAAGGAAAAAUACAAAUGUUUGAGUGUUAAACAUUUUGCCCAAAUACUAAAAUGUGAAUGUCUUUUUAUUGUGACAGUUCACAGGAAAGCGGGCUAUAGCAUGCCUGUGCUUGUCAAUGAAAAUCUUAGCACUGAGUUUGGUAAACAUUCUGGCAGUCGGGAAGCCACUUAAAAAUAAAGUUUAAAGAAAAGAAAGAGAAGUGUUCACUUUCCUUCUAAUUUUCCCAGAUACGCUCAAUAUUCUGCUUUAUUUUUUAGUAUUUUAACUAAAAUAAGAAAACUCGGAUUCUACCUCUAUGUGUCCUAUGAUUGUUGUUGUUUUCUCUGAUUAUAAAAUACAGGUUUGCAGCAGAAAACUUGGCAAAACAGAGAUAUGAAGAAUAAAAUAAAAAUCACCUGUAGUUCUAAGCCAUGAGAAUAAUCAUAUAUAUAUUCCCUAGGUAUUCUGAAGCAUAUGUAUUACAGUCCAAAUAUUUAAAAACAAAAUUUGGGUAAUACUUUAGAUAGAGAGUUGUAUUCUGAUUUUUUCUAUUAAUAUUAUAACUUUGAAACGAGGGACUUCACCAUUGCUUUUAUUUUUCUUUGCUAUGUAAGUACUUAUGUUCUUUAUGAGGAAAAUAAAAACUAUAGAAAAGAAAGAUAAGAAAAUAAAAUCAGUAAUAAUCCCCUCACUUACAAAUGACUGCUGUUAACAUUUUAGUUUUUUGGUUUCUAUCUAUUUAUGUGAAAUUUGAAUGAAAAUAGUAUAAUUUCGCUGUCUCUAUAUUGCUUGGUAACAUAAUGAUUUAACUGUAUAAUAAAUAGUAUAUUACAUGAAUAUUUUGAGUAAUAGUCUGUGUGAUAAUUUUUAUUCGGUGUGUGGUGUUCCACUACAUAAAUGUAUUAUAGUUUAUUUCACAAAUAAACUCUUAUCAGAAACUUAUGUUGUCGUUAAUCUGUGAUUUAUAAUGAAGCUAUAAACAUAACUUUUAGCUAAAUAUUUAUGGAUACCCUUCAUUAUUUAUUUCCUAAAUAGUAGAAGUAGAAUUUUAUGGUCAAAUGAUAAAGACAUGAUUUUCUUACAUUCAGGAGAUAUUCUAUUAUAUGGCUCUACCAUAAUUUAUUUAUUUAUU
rnacentral:SRP_RNA from 10 species